GGUCUCUGAUCGUUGCUCUGGUGCCGAGAGCUUGCUUACGGUUAUCAAAGUCGAUGGUCAAUAGGUUAGAACGGGUUAAAUUCGUUAAGGAUGUUGACGUAAUGGCUUUAAACGACCCGUCUUGAAACACGGACCAAGGAGUCUAACAUAUGUGCGAGUGUUUAAACACUCGCAUAUAUGUUAG
rnacentral:rRNA from 1 species